rnacentral:lncRNA from 1 species
CGGUCCCUGUCGACGUCAAGUUGUCUAUUCGUCCACUUUACUUUCUUCACAUGAACCGAAGAUUGCAGGUUUCAGUCCCUGCUGGCGGCAAGUUGUCUUUUCAUCCACUUUCUUCACGUGAACCGAAGAUUGCAGGUUCGGUUCCUGCCGGUGGCAAGUUGCCUUUUCGUCCACUUUACUUUCUUCACAUGAACCGAAGAUUGCAGGUUCGGUUCCUGCCGGCGGCAAGUUGUCUUUUCAUCCGCUUUACUUUCUUCACAUGAACCGAAGGUUGCAGGUUCAGUUCCUGCCGGCAGCAAGUUGUCUUUUAAUUCAUCCACUUUACUUUCUUCACACGAUCUGAAGAUUCAGUCCCUGCCAGCGGCAAGUUGUGUUUUUGUCCCUUUACUUUCGUCACAUCUAUAUCACCAUUACUACGAUACACUUGAAACAGUACAAUUACUAUCCCCUAUACCUUUCUUGGCUUCAUUAUCUGCUGGUUUUCAUUAAGGCUUUAGGUUGGAAACUUUUAACGUCCCGGUGAAUUUUUUCCGGGAUUCUGGCACCACUACUCAGCCAAACAUAAUGUUUUAGGCAGUAACGGCAAACCUUUACCUUUUCAUGUGCAUAUUAUUUACAUUAGCCACGAAAAAGUACUUGCGGUUUGAGCGGAAACCAGCUAGCACGACUGUACUUCACUGCUGAAAGGCAGGUGCUCUGUGGUUUUAUAGGCGGGGCUGACAUUUCUUUCUUGGCUAGUAACGUGAGUUUAACUUUUUGGCAGUGGUAGGACUUGUGCAAGUGGUGCUUACUGAAAAUUCCAUGUAUGGUGAGCACUGAAUCCAUGUCGACGAGGCCCUUGCGCACAUCGCAGUUUGUUGCCACUCAGCUUCAUCAGCAUCGGUCGGAAAUAGGGUUAUCUUGUGACUCUACCUUCUGUUGUUGUUUUUUUCCCUGCCAUUUUGCUUUCUGUGGUGGCUCUAUUUUUUACCAUGGUUCUGAGGUUGUGUACUACACCAGACUUUCUGUGAUGUAAUACUAUUGAUGAGAAAUAAUGGCCAAUUAAAUAAUGCUUGAGGAUGCGUGGCCAACUUUCACAUGACAUUUCUGGUUCGCUGCCCAUUUGUAUGGUGGCAGAAAUAACUGAACAAAACUUGUACUCUGCACGCCAACAAUAGGUGUCAGAUUUUAUUUACUCUUUUAAAGAAUGCUGCAAACUUGUUUGAGAGAAAAGUAGCAGAUAGGAUGAAGUGAUACUGUAAACUUUAUGCCUCCAAACUUGCAUGUGUGCAUGUGUUUGUAAGGAAUACAUGCACUGGCAUCUUCAUCUCAUGUAUACAGCUGAAUGCCUUCAGGUACCUUGCCAACACUCACUUACGUAUGCUCUGGAUGAGUUGCUAUUGAUAAACAUGAGAUAGAAGUGAAACUCUGGCAACAUCCUGUGUUACUGCCCAUACUAUACUGUGCAAAGAUGCUUUGUUAAUCUCACUGAAUAUUUUAGAAUUGAGCCCAUCAACGGAAAUUAUUACGGUGCAUUUGUGAAGGCACUAGUGAGGAAAUUUUAAAGGGGCCUUGCAACAAUCUUUGAACAUCAUCAGAAAAUGCUGCCGAUCAGUAAGCGAGGCUCCUAUGAACAUGUGAGCCAAACAUUAUAGCGCAGCACAUGGCAUCGAAUUUACGAUUAGGUUUCAAAAUUGGCUAGAAAUCUCUUGCCCUUCUCUUGACAAAUGAUGCCACAAGUGCAGUUUGGCGUAUGAUAUCAAUUUGGUUUACGGCCAUUGGCUGAAUUGAGCAUCUUGAGCUGCAUAGUUGCCGUGGCUGCCGUGGUGCGCCAUUAAGUGGCCGCACUGCACUCUGUAGUGCUAGAAAUACACAGUGUAGAAUUAGACAAGCACGCUCAUGAUCACACUGAGAGUGAGCCACGCAUUCAAAGAA